rnacentral:lncRNA from 1 species
AUCAGAGAUAGAAAAGAAACAAAAUAAAGAAUGAUGCAGUAAAAUAAUGCUUAUAUGAAAUUACUUAAAAUAAAGAUAAUUGAAAAUAACAACUUUUAUUUAUACUCACAAAGGUUCCAGAUAGCAACUGCUGAAACUUCUUAGCACAACACUCAGUAUUUACAAAGAUGAUUUCUCUAAAAGUGUUUUAGAGAGAAUCUAUAAAAAUUGAAUUCUGAAAAUUGUAGUUCUCGUUACAACUGAGGCCAAGGCCGACUUAAAUAGAUAGAGGCAACUAUAGUUUAAGUAACCAUAGUAAAAAGCAACUACGAUUAAUGCUACUGUAGAGGCACGGGAAAGAACUGAU